GGCAAGAUGGCCGAGUGGUUAAGGCGCAGCGUUCAGGCUUGUCUGAUGUCAAGAGUUCAUUUGAGUUCACCGCUGUCUUCGGGCGUGGGUUCGAAUCCCACUCUUGUCA
rnacentral:tRNA from 2 species